CUCCCCUUUCUUUCUUGUUUGUCUUCAGUCUCUUUCUUAACUACAAAUAAUCUCUUGUCCUACGAUGGAUUCAGAUCUGCAGUAGAAAUCCUCUUUCCUGUCUCACAGUGAAGCGCGAGCGGAAAGCCUACUAUAUGGCUAUUGGCAACUGAGCUGCUGCAAUCUAGGACCAGAAAUUUAGAUACCAAUUGCGUUGAUUAAGCUUCUCCAGGAUCUCCAGCUGAUAUGCUGCAGUUGAAAAGUGCAUUAGCUCUUUAGAUGCUCAUUAACUUGUUUGAGGUGGCUGUAAAUUCCCGCUUAUAAAUCAAGUGGCGUGCGGGAGGUGAUGGAGUUUGUUGGUAGCCUUGGAAAUCCCGAAAACAUUGAACAAAUGAAAGUGACUGAAGAGGUGCAGCAUCUCUGAUGUACAGACUCCAAUUCCGUAAAAUCUGCAGUGCUGCUGGUUAUGACACUCAGGGAUUGAGGCUGAAAGAAUGCAUUUUCAGUACCUAUAAGCAUCCAAGUUCGAGAUCGAGAAAGAGACUUUCUGCUAAAACUGAAUAUCAGCAUUUUACCAGUUAUGUCGGCAUUUGACUUGCUAUUUGGAGUAGACUGAACAAGACAAUUAUGGUAAAAAAGUUGCAAAUUUGAAUCUCAUAAGAAUGGCAGAAGCUUAAGUACAUUUCUUUGCAUGCGCAUGCCUUUACCAAUACUUCAAUCACUAGCUUUUCACAGAUUUUUUGAGCUUUGUGUUUUCAUUCCUAAAAAAUGUUCACUUCCUGCUUUGAAAUACUGGCGUACUUUUUAUUGCCAUUUGUUGAACGUUGAAAUAAUGAAUUCCAUAUUUUCUUGUUAUUUGCAGACAUGGAACACAAAGUGGGAAAGAUCUUAAAGCUUAUACAUAAUAAUGGCCAAGCCAAAAAGGGUAAGAUCCUUGAAGAUUCAAAGAAAAGAUCGGCACUUAUUGAACUUAUCGAAGAUUUUCACAGUACCAGUCACUCUAUGCACAACAUGAUCAUCUUAGAGCAGAGAUGGGAAAGAGACUGAUAGCAACAAAGAAAAAGGAAAGUUCUUCCUCUCCAUCCUCUGACUCGGAGUAUUAUUCUCCUGAUGACUGAGGGAGCAGCCCCAUGAUAAAUAUGCAUCUUGAAACCACAGACGGAACUACUGGAGAACUUGAUCUUUCAAACUUAGAAAUUACUGGGCUGAAGCAUAGAUUGGCCACUGCUACUGCUGAAAAUGAAGCUUUACGUACCAAAUAAAGUGCAGCUUCACAAGAAGCAGGCACUGCCAAUGAGCACAACAAGGAACUUUCAGCUCGUAUAAUGGUGCAUGAGCUCCAUGACACAAGCAUCAGCUCACAUGAAGGGGCUGGAGGAACAGUUAACUACACUUAAGACUGAGAUGGAUUCCUUGUACAACCUGAAAAAGGACCUCAAGGUACAGAUUGAAAACAAAGCAGCUGAAGCUAAACAGCUUCAAGAGAGAGACUCACAGCUGCUUUCAUGGGUUUCGGAACUUGAACUGAUGUCAAAAGAGAAAGGAGACGAGAUAUCUACAAUCCAGAAGAAAAUGAAGGAUAAUGAGAAGAACUUCACAUCUAGAAUUGAAGAUUUAAUGACACAGGUCAAUAUUCUGCAACUGGAGACGGUUUCUUUACGUUCUCAGAAAGGUAAACUGGAAGAAGGUAAGCGGAAGGAAACAUCAGCUCAGGCCAAGGGCUUAAAGAACCAAAUUAACGUUUUCAAAAAGGAAUUGGAAUCCCUUCACAGUGAGAAAUCUCAUAUGAAAAUGAAAACUAAUGAAGUUGCUGAAAACGUGCUUUGAACCGAAACUUUGGAAGAUGAAAUAGCAAGGAAGGCUAUGGCUGAACAGGAACUGAAAGAGAAAGAAACCUUUCUUGUGCAGAGGCAUGACCAGGGACUAGAAGCGAACUCUCUCUGAAACCAAAAGAACAGAAUGGAAGAGCUGAUAAGAAGUAAGAACCAAGUGGCAGAUCAGUUGCGAGAAGGGGAGAGGAUGCAUGCUAGAAUAUUUGAACUAGAGGGGAACUUGCUAGAUAGAGGAGGUUCCUUUUCUCCUUGUCUGAGAGAAUAUGAGAGCAUUGUCAAUGAAGCGUCUACUCAGAUUAUUGCCUUGAAAUCAGAGGUUUUUAGUUUACAACAGGAUUUGGAUUCCUCGCUGAGUGAGAAGAGUUUGUUGGACAGAGAGACUAAGGCCAGACGCUAGGCAAAUCCAGUUUCAGAUGGAAAAUGAAAUCCACAAUUUAACGAGCGGGAUUGAAGAGCAGCAGAAAAUCCUGAAAGAAGAGGGGGUUACUAUUAAAAAGCUCGCUGAAGAGCCUAAAGUAGUCAAACAUAAUUUGCUGGAGCCCCCAAACAUCGGCCACUGGAAUCCCCAAGGACAAAUCCUCAAUCUUUAGAAAGAAAGAUGGAAGAACUGGCAGAAAACUUCAAUAUGAAAAUGGAAAAUCAUAACCAAAUCUUGUAUCAGAGGGUUUUAGUUUCAGAACAGAUACAUGCUGAGACCAAAGAUGGCUACAAGAAGAUGAAAGAGAGACUCGAUCAAGAAAACAUAGAGCUUAAUGACAAAGCAUCAGCAUUUGAAGCUGUACUCAGGAAGAUAAGGGAGAUGUUAUUGGAACCAGUAGAAGAUGCAUUUUCAGGAGCAGAAGCAAUGCUCAAGAAACUCAACGAGGACAAUGAAAAUCUCUCGGACCCCAUUAGCCGAAUCUCAAACGAGCUUCAGUUGGAUCACAGUAACAAAAGAUGACAUAAAAAAGCUGAAACAUACUGUGGAUGGUUUGAAGCUCCAACUCAAGGGCAAGGAAGAGAAGGAGCUUCUGUUAGGAGAAGAGGUAGGGAAACUAAAAGCAAAGCUGUGCAAGGAAGGGGGAGACAAGAUGAAUUCUGUUAGCCAGCUUGAGAGAAAGGUGGUAUAUUUAGAGCAGCAGGUAGGAUAAGGAAGAGGUUUUGCUAGGUCUCAGUGAGGAGAAGAGGGAGGCCAUAAGGCAGCUAUGCAUCUUGAUUGAUUAUCAUCGCGGCCGCUAUGAUCAAGCAAUAUCAAAGAAGACUGUUCAUAUCAAGAGAAUGGCUUAGAAGAGAUCUGCAGACACUUUCUUCUUUUCUUUAUUAAUGCUGUAAUUUUGUUUCAACAUUAUUUCUUUCACUUUUUUUCCUUGAACAAUCCAUAUGAGCAAAUUGGUUGAGCUUUAAUGUCUCGU